UCCCGCUUAGCUCAGUGGUAGAGCGCAUCACUAGUACCUUCGCAAGGGUAUGAUGAGGUCAGUCGUUCAAGUCGGCUAGUGGGAA